GGUUAAGCGACUAAGCGUACACGGUGGAUGCCUUGGCAGUCAGAGGCGAUGAAGGACGUGCUAAUCUGCGAUAAGCGCCGGUAAGGUGAUAUGAACCGUUAUAACCGGCGAUUUCCGAAUGGGGAAACCCAGUGUGAUUCGUCACACUAUCAUUAACUGAAUCCAUAGGUUAAUGAGGCGAACCGGGGGAACUGAAACAUCUAAGUACCCCGAGGAAAAGAAAUCAACCGAGAUUCCCCCAGUAGCGGCGAGCGAACGGGGAGGAGCCCAGAGCCUGAAUCAGCAUGUGUGUUAGUGGAAGCGUCUGGAAAGGCGCGCGAUACAGGGUGACAGCCCCGUACACAAAAGCGCAUGUGCUGUGAGCUCGAUGAGUAGGGCGGGACACGUGGUAUCCUGUCUGAAUAUGGGGGGACCAUCCUCCAAGGCUAAAUACUCCUGACUGACCGAUAGUGAACCAGUACCGUGAGGGAAAGGCGAAAAGAACCCCGGCGAGGGGAGUGAAAAAGAACCUGAAACCGUGUACGUACAAGCAGUGGGAGCACCCUUUGGGGUGUGACUGCGUACCUUUUGUAUAAUGGGUCAGCGACUUAUAUUCUGUAGCAAGGUUAACCGUAUAGGGGAGCCGGAGGGAAACCGAGUCUUAACCGGGCGUUAAGUUGCAGGGUAUAGACCCGAAACCCGGUGAUCUAGCCAUGGGCAGGUUGAAGGUUGGGUAACACUAACUGGAGGACCGAACCGACUAAUGUUGAAAAAUUAGCGGAUGACCUGUGGCUGGGGGUGAAAGGCCAAUCAAACCGGGAGAUAGCUGGUUCUCCCCGAAAGCUAUUUAGGUAGCGCCUCGUGAAUUCAUCUCCGGGGGUAGAGCACUGUUUCGGCUAGGGGGCCAUCCCGGCUUACCAACCCGAUGCAAACUGCGAAUACCGGAGAAUGUUAUCACGGGAGACACACGGCGGGUGCUAACGUCCGUCGUGAAGAGGGAAACAACCCAGACCGCCAGCUAAGGUCCCAAAGUCAUGGUUAAGUGGGAAACGAUGUGGGAAGGCCCAGACAGCCAGGAUGUUGGCUUAGAAGCAGCCAUCAUUUAAAGAAAGCGUAAUAGCUCACUGGUCGAGUCGGCCUGCGCGGAAGAUGUAACGGGGCUAAACCAUGCACCGAAGCUGCGGCAGCGACGCUUAUGCGUUGUUGGGUAGGGGAGCGUUCUGUAAGCCUGCGAAGGUGGCCUGUGAGGGUUGCUGGAGGUAUCAGAAGUGCGAAUGCUGACAUAAGUAACGAUAAAGCGGGUGAAAAGCCCGCUCGCCGGAAGACCAAGGGUUCCUGUCCAACGUUAAUCGGGGCAGGGUGAGUCGACCCCUAAGGCGAGGCCGAAAGGCGUAGUCGAUGGGAAACGGGUUAAUAUUCCCGUACUUGGUGUUACUGCGAAGGGGGGACGGAGAAGGCUAUGUUGGCCGGGCGACGGUUGUCCCGGUUUAAGCGUGUAGGCUGGUUUUCCAGGCAAAUCCGGAAAAUCAAGGCUGAGGCGUGACGACGAGGCACUACGGUGCUGAAGCAACAAAUGCCCUGCUUCCAGGAAAAGCCUCUAAGCAUCAGGUAACAUCAAAUCGUACCCCAAACCGACACAGGUGGUCAGGUAGAGAAUACCAAGGCGCUUGAGAGAACUCGGGUGAAGGAACUAGGCAAAAUGGUGCCGUAACUUCGGGAGAAGGCACGCUGACACGUAGGUGAAGUGAUUUACUCACGGAGCUGAAGUCAGUCGAAGAUACCAGCUGGCUGCAACUGUUUAUUAAAAACACAGCACUGUGCAAACACGAAAGUGGACGUAUACGGUGUGACGCCUGCCCGGUGCCGGAAGGUUAAUUGAUGGGGUCAGCGCAAGCGAAGCUCCUGAUCGAAGCCCCGGUAAACGGCGGCCGUAACUAUAACGGUCCUAAGGUAGCGAAAUUCCUUGUCGGGUAAGUUCCGACCUGCACGAAUGGCGUAAUGAUGGCCAGGCUGUCUCCACCCGAGACUCAGUGAAAUUGAACUCGCUGUGAAGAUGCAGUGUACCCGCGGCAAGACGGAAAGACCCCGUGAACCUUUACUAUAGCUUGACACUGAACAUUGAGCCUUGAUGUGUAGGAUAGGUGGGAGGCUUUGAAGUGUGGACGCCAGUCUGCAUGGAGCCGACCUUGAAAUACCACCCUUUAAUGUUUGAUGUUCUAACGUGGACCCGUAAUCCGGGUUGCGGACAGUGUCUGGUGGGUAGUUUGACUGGGGCGGUCUCCUCCUAAAGAGUAACGGAGGAGCACGAAGGUUGGCUAAUCCUGGUCGGACAUCAGGAGGUUAGUGCAAUGGCAUAAGCCAGCUUGACUGCGAGCGUGACGGCGCGAGCAGGUGCGAAAGCAGGUCAUAGUGAUCCGGUGGUUCUGAAUGGAAGGGCCAUCGCUCAACGGAUAAAAGGUACUCCGGGGAUAACAGGCUGAUACCGCCCAAGAGUUCAUAUCGACGGCGGUGUUUGGCACCUCGAUGUCGGCUCAUCACAUCCUGGGGCUGAAGUAGGUCCCAAGGGUAUGGCUGUUCGCCAUUUAAAGUGGUACGCGAGCUGGGUUUAGAACGUCGUGAGACAGUUCGGUCCCUAUCUGCCGUGGGCGCUGGAGAACUGAGGGGGGCUGCUCCUAGUACGAGAGGACCGGAGUGGACGCAUCACUGGUGUUCGGGUUGUCAUGCCAAUGGCACUGCCCGGUAGCUAAAUGCGGAAGAGAUAAGUGCUGAAAGCAUCUAAGCACGAAACUUGCCCCGAGAUGAGUUCUCCCUGAGACUUAGAGUCUCCUGAAGGAACGUUGAAGACGACGACGUUGAUAGGCCGGGUGUGUAAGCGCAGCGAUGCGUUGAGCUAACCGGUACUAAUGAACCGUGAGGCUUAACCUU
rnacentral:rRNA from 1 species